GUCUCGUACGCCUAUGUCAAUAUGGCAUUUACAACAUGAACAUAAUACGAAGCCAAAGUGAAAGUGUGAAAUUGAAAGAAACUUUAAAGAAAGCGUGCUAAUUCUCGUAUUUUACUCGUAUGUACUCGUAUUUUACUCGUAUGUACUCGUAUGUUACGCGUAUGUUACUCGUGUGUACUUGUAUGUUACUCGUGUGUUACUCGUAUGUACUCGUAUGUUACUCGUAUGUACUUGUGUGUUACUCGUAUGUACUCGUGUGGUGUUUUAGUCACGAUCGAAAUUAACUGCACCGUUGGAUUUAAAACUGCCGCUUGCUAUUAAAUUACAUACCGCUUGCCCAACCUACACAUAACUCAAUUAUUUGCUGGCAGAUAACUGUGUUAUGUGUAGGUUGCAUGAUUGCCAUAUUUAGAUGUAAGCUAUUAACCAAUCAAAACGCAUACGACGACUGUAUAAUAAAAAAAAUUAUAAACCCUCGAAAGAUACACAAUAUACAUAAAUAUGUCACCAAUAUUAACCUGGGUACUCAUCACCGUUAGUGUCAACAUUUCCUGUUACAGCAUAGCCAAAUUGUUGGAAGUUAGAGUAGAAUGCCUUCACUGUGUCUGCAGUUAUUUUCU